ncrna:Nicotiana tabacum cultivar TN90 Ntab-TN90_scaffold1024, whole genome shotgun sequence
UGGACAGAUUAUUGUAUUCGACUGUAUUCACGACGUGAAAUAAGUGAUUACACUGGUUUAAAAUGGAAAGUGAAUCAAUUAACAUAAUAGACUCCU